UCGAGAAUAGUCUACAAUGGUCGAAAGACUGAUAGUGCGACGCCGCGUGAACGAAGAAUCCCUUCGGGGUGUAAAGUUCUUUUUUAAUCGGGCAAUGCCUUUUAUGUGAUAAGCAUGAGGGGUGAGAUAUUAGGAUAAGAAUAAGCAACGGCUAACUCCGUGCCAGCAGCCGCGGUAACACGGGGGUUGCAAGCGUUGUCCGGAAUUACUAGGCGUAAAGGGCAGGUAGGCGGAUAUAUAAGUUUUGUGUUAAAGGCAUCGGCUUAACCGGUGUAAGGCAUAGGAUACUGUAUAUCUGGAAUGCGGUUGAGGAAGACAGAAUUCCUGGUGUAGCAGUGGAAUGCGCAGAGAUCAGGAGGAAUACCAAAGGCGAAGGCAGUCUUCUAAGCCGAUAUUGACGCUAAACUGCGAAGGUGUGGGUAUCAAACA
rnacentral:rRNA from 1 species